UUGACCUCGGAUCAGGUAGGGAUACCCGCUGAACUUAAGCAUAUCAAUAAGCGGAGGAAAAGAAACCAACCGGGAUUGCCUCAGUAACGGCGAGUGAAGCGGCAAGAGCUCAAAUUUGAAAGCUGGCUCCUUCGGAGUCCGCAUUGUAAUUUGCAGAGGAUGCUUUGGGUGCGGCCCCCGUCUAAGUGCCCUGGAACGGGCCGUCAGAGAGGGUGAGAAUCCCGUCUUGGGCGGGGUGUCCGUGCCCGUGUAAAGCUCCUUCGACGAGUCGAGUUGUUUGGGAAUGCAGCUCUAAAUGGGUGGUAAAUUUCAUCUAAAGCUAAAUACUGGCCGGAGACCGAUAGCGCACAAGUAGAGUGAUCGAAAGAUGAAAAGCACUUUGAAAAGAGAGUUAAACAGCACGUGAAAUUGUUGAAAGGGAAGCGCUUGCGACCAGACUCGCCCGCGGGGUUCAGCCGGCAUUCGUGCCGGUGUACUUCCCCGUGGGCGGGCCAGCGUCGGUUUGGGCGGCCGGUCAAAGGCCCCUGGAAUGUAGUACCCUCCGGGGUACCUUAUAGCCAGGGGUGCAAUGCGGCCAGCCUGGACCGAGGAACGCGCUUCGGCACGGACGCUGGCAUAAUGGUCGUAAACGA
rnacentral:rRNA from 2 species